AGGGAUUUAAGUUAAAAAACUAAUAGCCUUCAAAGCUGCAAUUGGCACACGCCAGUCUCUA
rnacentral:tRNA from 1 species